UACGAAGGGUGCAAGCGUUACUCGGAAUUACUGGGCGUAAAGCGUGCGUAGGCGGUUUGUUAAGUCCGCUGUGAAAGCCCUGGGCUCAACCUGUGAAUGCCGCUGGAAACUGUCUGGCUAGAGUCCGGAAGGGGCGAGUGGAAUUCCUGGUGUAGCGGUGAAAUGCGCAGAUAUCAGGAGGAACACCAAUGGCGAAGGCAGCUCGCUGGAACGGUACUGACGCUGAGGCGCGAAAGCGUGGGGAGCGAACAGG
rnacentral:rRNA from 1 species